GGAGGGGGUGUCUCAAGGUCCUCCCGGCACAUCUGGCGCGCUGGGGAGCGCUCGCCUCUCUUCCCCCCGGUUUUGUUCUCCCAGCUGUGUCCAUCCCGCCCGUGACCCCCCGAGCGAGCCCUGACAGGACGGCCCCCUCCCCUCGCCCUCCGGGAGGCUGGAGGAUGGGCAGCCGGUUCCCGCGGCUCCCAGUCUCUGCGCGCGGCCGACCCGUGUCUGCGUCCUCAUUACCACUACAAAGCCGGGCAGACGUCGCCUCUUUCCAGAGCUGCGCUUUCAGCUGCGAACAUCAAGAGGCCAGAAAACAUCCAAGUGGGCCCGAGGACGCAGACGCCGCCUCGGUCCUGGCUUUAUCUCUAGGGAAAGUUCCAUUUUAAGAACCAGAUGCCAACAUUCCCGGACAGUUUAUGGUAUCCGGAUCCCUCGGGGUGCGCAUCCGCGGCUUAGAGUGUUAGCAGCAAUUAUUUAUCGUCUGCCCUGGAGAGGAGGUCCUGAACACGACUGUCCUCGGCGGACCCUGGGGGUGGGGGUGGGGUGGGGACACACGACUGUUCCCGAUCCGGUUAUCUGGUUUAGCAGAGUUUGUUGUGGUUUUCGAGGAAACAGCAUCUGGGUUACAUAAGGAUUCAAGUUUUUGCUUUGCUUGUUUAUUUAAUACCUUGGCAAGAGGGAGCCCUCACUCUGAAACUAGAUAACCGAAUUUGGGUUUAAAACAGCCUUAGAUGAGGGGCAACGAGAGGGGAAGAAAAUGAAUCAAACCACGAAAAGCAAACAAGGGGAUGUUUAUUUUUCUCCCUUUGGGUAGUUUUGAAGACCUGCCUAACCUCUUACUUCUCGUCGCGCACAGCUAAUAAAUCGCAUUAACAAAGCA
rnacentral:lncRNA from 1 species